GACGAACGCUGGCGGCGUGCCUAAUACAUGCAAGUCGAACGAACAGGCCCGGAGCUUGCUCCUCUGACGUUAGCGGCGGACGGGUGAGUCACAUGUGUAUAACCUACCUAUCAGACUGGGAUAAUUACGGGAAACCGGCGCUUAUACCGGAUGAUAUAUUGCACCGUGUGGUUCAAUAGUGAAAUACGGUUUUGCUGUCAGUAAUAGCUGGCUCCGCGCCGCAUUAGCUAGUUGUUAAGGUAACGGCUUACCAAGGCGACGAUGCGUAGCCGACCUGAGAGGGUGAUCGGCCACACUGGAACUGAGACGCGGUCCGGACUCAUACGGGAGGCAGCAGUAGGGAAUCUUCCGCAGUGGGCGAAAGCCUGACGGAGCAACGCCGCGUGAGUGAUGAAGGUCUUCGGAUCGUAAAACUCUGUUAUUGGGGAAGAACAAAUGUGUAAGUAACUAUGCACGUAUUGACGGUACCUAAUCAGAAAGCCACGGCUAACUACGUG
rnacentral:rRNA from 1 species